rnacentral:rRNA from 1 species
GACGAACGCUGGCGGCGUGCCUAAUACAUGCAAGUCGAGCGAACCAAUAGGAGCUUGCUCCUGUUGGUUAGCGGCGGACGGGUGAGUAACACGUGGGCAACCUGCCUGUAAGACUGGGAUAACACCGGGAAACCUGUGCUAAUACCGGAUAAUCUUUUUCCUCUCAUGAGGAAAAACUGAAAGUCGGUUUCGGCUGACACUUACAGAUGGGCCUGCGGCGCCUUAGCUAAUUGGUGAGGUAACGGCUCACCAAGGCGUCGAUGCGUAGCAGACUUUGGAGGGUUAUCGGCCACACUGGUACUGAGAAACAGCCCAGACUCCUACGUGAGGCAUCAGUAGGGACUCUUCCACAAUUGACGGAAGAUUGAUGGCGCAACGCCGCGUGAGCGAUGAAGGCCUUCGGGUCGUAAAGCACUGUUGUUAGGGAAGAACAAGUACCGGAGUAACUGCCGGUGCCUUGACGGUACCUAACCAGAAAGCCACGGCUAACUACGUGCCAGCCGCCGCGGUAA